UUUAUAAAGGUUGCAGGGUAAAACUGUUUUUCUCUCCUAGUCCCACAUCAUUUAGAACACUGGAAAAAGUGCAUCCUGGCUAAGCACUUGGCCUCUGGACCGAAGCCAGGCUGCCUGGAUUCAAAUCAGGUCCCCCGCUUUCCCACCUGUAAAAUGGGGCUAAUCAGUGCAUCCACCUUGUAGGCUAUCAUGAGUAUUGAAGGAGUCAAAACACUUAAAUGCUUAAAGUAGUGCUUAGCACAUGGAGGAACUCAAUAGAUCUUAGUUAUUAUUCUUUUUCAAAUGACCUUGUUGUUUUUUAUGUUAACUUGUUUAUGUCUGAGAUGGGAAACCGAGGCUUAGCAAUAUAAGGUGAUCCUCCAAGCUCAUGCACCCAGCCCUCCCACACCGAUACAUUUCCUCCAAGAUGGCAGGUCCUCCCCAGCAUCUUGUGCUCAGGUCAAGCCCCAUGGCAUUGGCCAAGGUAGGCAAAUUCCUCUAUGAGAUAGGAGAGGGAGGGAAGGUGAGAGGGAGGGAAGGUGAGAGGGAGGGAAGGUGAGAGGGAGGGAAGGUGAGAGGGAGGGAGGAUGCAAUUCAAACAGGAUGUGUGGUACCAUCUACCUUUCUCUCAACAUAUGUGCACCCCAUGUGAGUGGGGAGACCCCAAUGGCUGUUCAGCUUGUCUUUCUUAGUUCCUGUGGCCCUUCUUCACCACACUGAGUGGGUUUCCAGUGUUUAAAGAUAUGUAUUUUCAAAGAGCACGGGCCCUAAAUGUAAACCAACUAAAGUUAUUCCAUCUGAAGCUCAACUGCCCCAGCAACAGACCUCUAAUCCUCCUGGAGCAAAAUCCAGCUGUCGUGGCCUUCACAAGAAGUGGCUGCCAUUCUGCAGUGUGGCCCUCUCCUAGGGGAGUUUAUUCACUACAAUGACCAUGAGAAUGAAGUCGCGGCCGCCCAACUGCCGCUCGUUUUUUGUCUUAGGUCAUUCCCCUUUUCCUAUUUUAUUCUCCUCUAAUGUAAACUUCCUAAAGUGCACACUGGACUCUUCACCGUGUCCCCAUAAUCACACAACCACACAACAUCUACAGCAACAAAAACAGUUUCCUUUUGCCAAAAUGCUAACAUUAAGAAUUAUUUUUAUUUUGGGGGGGUAGACUGCAAGAGCCUAAAGUGACAAAUCAGGACAGAGCAUGUGGCAUGUGCAGAAUAGGAUGCAUUUGCUUGACAAGAGGCACAAAGGAAUGAUGUUCAUUGAUGGGGACAGGCACCGGACCUCACUGCACUGGCCGGCGGUGCGCGGACACUGCAGCUGAAGGGACUCUUCCUCAUGAGCAAGUUUCCACACUUGGGCUUGAGUACGGCAAACAGCUAUAAUAAUGUCAAGACAGAGAACCUAAUUCUGGCUAAUGUAUUACUGAGUUCUAUGUGUUUGAAAAAUUACAGUAACAGUAGACACUGUUGAUGCUGUUAUUCCACUAAUCAAAACCAUCCCAAAGUUAUAUACAGGAAAAGAACAUGAUGCUGGUAGAGAAAAUGGGUGGAGACUGAAACGCAGUCAUUAGACCAGCAGCACCGAUCAGGGACUGUGGUGUUUGUAGACUCAGUAGGUGGCCAGUGGGACCAGGAAGCCAUUGCACACCAACAUUGCUAGUCAGGGCACUAUCUUUAGUUAUCUAUCACAAAACCAGGAGGCAUUCGCAGCAAAUUUUCUUAGUGCCCAUAUGGUCAUUGAUCCUGAACAAAUCAAUCUGACAGGUAAAAAUAGAACAAGGGUGACAACAAGCAGUACUUAAUUUCACCUGAUUCAUACGCAGACAAAUUCCACUUGGUCCCAGAUGAGACACCGCAUUGCUCCUUAGUCAUUCUGUGGAGGCUGCCUUGAGUGGCCUUGUCUACCCACACUGUCAAAGUGAAUGUUGCAGUUGAUCAAUGGCACAAUAAAGAAGAUGCAUUAGCAGCAACUAAAAAUGACUUGCUAAUUGGAGCUGACACAGUAAAAGCCCCCAUCUAGACCCUUGUCUAAUUGUACCAAGAUGGCAAAUAAAUGGCCCAAGAACAGACCAAGUGGCAUUUAUUGAUUCAGUUCCCAGCUUCCAUAAAACUCAUCUAUCAAGCCCAUGCCCACCUAUGUUUUCCAUACUGAAGCUGCUCCAGUUGGUCUGAAGACUGAUAAUUCACUAAUGUUCACAUUUGGGGUUCCUAAUGCCUUUCCUAGGGAGAAUGAACAAGAGCAGACAAUGGGGGCUGCAUUUGGAGCUGAAGUUGACUAAUCCAUCCAUCUCCACCUUCGGCUCAUUCUAACACCCAUUCUGGGGUCAGAACGAAGUCACACCUUUGGACAAAUUAAAAUAAAAGAAGGGGCAAAAGUGCUAGAAUCCUAGUGACUUUACUACUAUUACAGCAUCCUAGGAACUUAUGUUAAACCUGGGCAUGAAGCCUCACCGGCAGAAGCUCUCUAAUAAAGGGAGCUGAGUAUCCCCAGGGAGGUUCUGCUGCCCAGGUACUAAGCAGAAAGAACUGGGACAUCCGGGAAGUUUCUGUGAACCUUCAAAACUCAAGGAUCAUUUGGGGGGCAAGAGAUAUUACAGCCAGCAUCCUCUCUACUCUCUGCAUGGGGAGAAAAGAAGCCAGCAGCCUUGCCGCUUUGACAGAUCUAAUGAAACUACUCUUUUGGCUGAAGUUCUAUCAAAAUUUUCCUCUGCAAAGAACUGCCCUCCCCAUCUAGGGCAUCUGGAAGAUACAUUCUCCUACAGAGUAAUUACAUGAUCUCAUCUUUUAAACUGGAUAUUCAGGAGAACAGGCCAUAGGUGAAGGAUGAAGUAAGGUGAAGAACCAUCUGAGGGUUUUCCACUGAGGUCCAGUUUUCAGGUACAACCUCACCUCCCAGGGCUUUCACCUCACCAGGUCUAGUCAUGGUGAUUUUUCCUCUGACACCAUCUUCCUUCAUGAGUACCUAUAAUAAGGUAACUGAAUUUUCAUUUUGCUUUUGGCAAGGCAACCUUCCAAGUUCACCAUCUUCCUUCUAAGUAUACUGUUGCGUCAACCCCCAGCUGCAUCCAUUUCCUAGUCAUCUGUCAACCAACCACAAGGUAAGCUUAGCCAAUCAGGUUCACAUAUUCCGAGUUCCAGCUCACACCACACAAACACCUCUCAGAAUUACCGCUAGGUCAGAAUGUUAGAAAUGGAUGGAGUGUGGAGGUCAUCUGGUUAAAGACUGUCAUUCUACAGUGGACCACAGUGAAUGCCAAGGCACAGAAUGAAAUCAGAAUCAGAAUCAGGAAGAAAGCCUAGAACUCCUGAUGCUACCAAUGAACCCCAUUUUCUUUGAGUAGAAAGAGGGGGACAGGCAACCUAAUCAACCACUUGCUCAGUCAACUGAGUGCUUGCUAUUUAACUGUAGAUGCCUGGCAGUGUGUUUCAUUUUGUAAGAUCUGCAGGGGAAGUAUACGUACAGCAGUUACCUGCAAAUAACUUACAAAGCUAGUGGAAAAUUGAGAGGAACAGGAAUUCAGCAUCCAGGACCUCAAUCUCGAGGAACAGGUCUGGGCUUCCUUUUUUUUGUUAAUUAAACAACAUAAUUUCUUCUCUCUUACGUAAAACGCCGGAGGUGAACAGUCUACUCCACCCAGUCUGUGGACACCAGAUGCUUCCAGCUCACUCACUGAUCAUCUCCUACUCAUGGUCCAAGAUGGCAACUAAAGCUGUAGCCAUCACAUCCACAUUCCCAGCGGAGGAAGGAGGAGGCAAGGAUGAAUACUAGGGGGUAACUAAUAUAUCUGCCAUGGCACUAUAGAGAGAAUGUUCACCAAAUCAGGAGCCUCCUGGAGUUUGGCCGUGCCUGUUUUUAAAAAGCUUCACAAGCAGUUGUUGAUGCAUACCCUGGUUAAGCACAAUUGAACCAGAUUGUCUCUCAGGUACCUUCCAGUGGGAGCCAUUCUGAGUGACAUGAAAUGAGGAGAGAUCGAUGAAGUAUCACGCUAAGCUUUGUUUCAGGCAGUAAAUCCAGUGGGCUGAUCAAUGCAGCCAGGCCUUGAGAAGAGGGUGAAAUACAGGGCGGGCCCUCAAGGCCAAAAACAAUGCUGAGAGAUGCAGGCAGGUAUUUACUAGGAGACACAGCAUGGAGAGAGCGAGGAGGCAGGGGUCAAGCCUGAUUACAUUCCUGGAAAAUAGCUCCUGUAGUCCAAAGGCAGUGGCAGCCCCUCUAACGAGAUGAAGAACCUGUUUUUCCCGGGAAAGGAGCCUGGAACUUUUGAAAAUCCCCAUUCCAGGACUCAGCUGAAGGUUCUGUACUUCUCAAGGUGUGGUCUCCAAAUAUCUACAUCCAAAUUGCUAGAAGAGCUGGUUAAGAUGCAUAUUCCUAGGGCCCUAGCUUAGACUUAUUUAAUCAAAGUUCUAGGAUUUUCAUUAAUUUUUCAAAAUGUGCAGUUUUAACAAGAUGCCCAGCUGAUGGUUAACGAUCAUGAGAUCAGCGUGUUCCCUCUGAAGGAAGGCCAGCUCAUACCGUCCACCUUAAUCCUGCUAACUAUCUGCCCCCUUUACACACCAUUUCUCUGUACUCUCUCUCCUCCCUCGUCAUCCUCCUUUUUCUCUCUGCCUGCCUCCUUUAGUCCACCCCUCAAAAGCCCUUCUGAAAAAAAUUGAUGAUGAAUAACAAAAACGCUCCCCCUGAAAUGUGGGUGAGUCCUGCCUCCCCAAGCUGCCCCCAGAGUUUCUGCAGGCCCUUGUGUGCCCUUCCUCACAGCUGUCCUCAGGGGGCUGGCCAGGCUGAUGUUUGCCGCGAGUGGGAUGAAGGACCCCUUGGGAAAAGCCGGUUGCACUCACACACAGAGUAGCAAUGUCUGAAGGAGGUCCUAUUUCAGUCCCCCUCUUCCUUCCUGGCCUAGAGAAAACUUCCUGCCAUCCUCAGAGCUCAUGGCCUGAGUGUCCCUUCAUGAAAGAUACAGAACACCACCACCUUGUCUACAUGGCCAGGGCUGGGCUGAUACAUAAGUGGAGUUGGGAGCUAUUACGUGACUUGAAGGAAAGCAGGAAAAACCUGCUUGCCGUCAAGGGGAAAGGAAAUAAAUUAAUAUUUAUUGAUGGUCCUGCUGAAUGCCAGGCUCUGUGCUGUGGUGCUGUGCACUUUGUGUGUGUAAUUUCACUUAUCCCUGUGUUACAAAUGGUACAGUGGGAGCUCAGAGAGUUUGCAUAAUUUGUCCAAGUUCACACAACGAGUAAGUGAGGGUUGAUAUUUGAUAUGUAAGUCUAGAGCCGAUAUUCCUUCCAAUAAACCAUAUGCCAUGUACCCCAAAAGAACAAAUUUCAACUUUCAACUAUUAGACAUUCACCUCUUAGGACUGGUUCCAGGAAUCCUCUGUUAAAACAUUGCCUCUAUUAAAACAAGGUGCUCCCCUGGUAAACUAAUCUAUUUCCUGACCAGGUAUUCUCACGGUAUCACAGUGUUUCUUGGAUAAUUUUCCAACGUGAGAGCAGCUCAGAGGAAAUGGGUCUUGAGACCAGAUAGUAUGGAUGGUGGGCAGAGGUUGUCCAGGAGGGGCUACAGUGAGGGUGGGCGCCUCCGGACAGCAGGUGACACACAGAGCAUAGGAGAUGGGAGCCAGGGUAGGGCAGCACACUCAUCCGCUUUACAGGACUGAGGAGGGUUCUCGACUGGCACAGACCUUGGGAAAGAGAGCCCAGGUCCAGGCAGAGCUUUGAAACCAGAACUGGAUCUAAACCUGUGUGAUUUAACCUCUUCUGUCAGUCAUUUAACCUCUCUGAGCCUCAGUGUUCUCAUCUGUGGAAAUGAGACAGUAAUUCACUCCUCGCCAGGCUACAGCAACAAUUAAAUAGCUUACGCAAAGCCAUCCAGCACAGUCCCUGGCGCAUAGUAGGUACUCCUCACACGGAGAGCAAGACAGACGGCAAAGCCCUGAGAGGCCCAGCUCUGUUCCCCAGGCCCAGCACGCCCCUCCCCAGAACCCUUCCAAGCAAGCCCGCCAAGGAGGUGAUUGAUGGAGGCCUGUUUAUUUCCUUUGCCUAUUUUUAAUGACCUCUGGAGUCUACCAGCAAGCCUGCCCUAUUUCCUACUUCAGACAGAAUCACAGAACAGAGAAGUAGCUGAAACAUCAGGGUCCUGGCGGCACGCCUGCGCCGGCAGGUGCGGCUCAGGGAAUCUUUUCUCCUGGGGAGGUGGGGCCCGGGCAGCUCCGAGUGCAAGCUCAGGACCCAGGGCUGCUGCGUGUUCCUCAGGCACGUGUGCAGU